rnacentral:lncRNA from 1 species
UCGCAACUAUGAAAAGCGCGGCAAUGGCUCUGACGGCACCUUGCAAUCUACGGCGGUGAACGAGUAUCUAAACGCGAGUGGCAUUCCUCUCUUGCUUGCGUUACGCCUGUGAAAUCCGACAGCGGUGGCAGCAUGUCGUCCGAUCCGCCUUCAACCGAACGCUCGCCGACUGAUGCGGAAGGAGCGGUUUGCCUCUUGCUUGCGGUGCGCCUGUGAAACGUGACAACGGUGGCAGCAUGUCGUCCGAUCCGGCUUAAACUGAACGUUCGCCGACUGGUGCGGAAGAAGCGGCUUGCCUCGUUUCGCAGGGGCCAUCAAAGAAAAUCGUGAAGCUCACAGGCGCCCGGAAACUCGCCGACCUCCACGAAAGCCUGCGGACGGGAGGGUUCGUGUACCUGAUGACAGGCAACGAUCUUCUAAUACAGAUCUUCCAACGACCGGUUCCAGUGCUACAUCGACAUGGGUGAAAGCACGACGGCUGUCUGGUAGUGCGGUUGGACAUGCGGAGAAUGCAGUCAAAGGACAGUACAAGGAAUUGUCAACGUACACACUGCCUCUGAUGCCCAUUGACGUUGCUGCACACCUCUGAAAUAUUACAGCAGGAGGCGUGCCUGACAAUCUUCAAAAAAAUUGAAUGGAUUGCCUACAAUUCGUCAUCUCAGACAAUGUACCCAAAUAAAUUGUGCAAUGUUGCUGCAAGGAGCCUCGUAAACCAGUACCCAGCACUGAGGGACACAUUGCACCUUGGCCAUUUCUCAUGUUAUAUGUGCCUAAGAAACAAGUACAAAAACAUGCGAAAGUGAAUGCCACCAGGAUGCCCUGAAGUCGAUGCAGAAGUGAAAGCAAGAAAGGCAAGCGAAAUUGUAACACAUGCUGAAAAUCUGGAUUUUGAAGACAGGUGAUCAGCUGCAAGUUUGCAUGCACAUUUCACUAGACAAACUGACUCUCCUUUCUUUGUUAUGUGGCUUAGUUGAAACAUUUAGUUGCUUCUCUUGAUGUACUUGUACGUUUCAUUUACAUUUUUUCUUUAACAAAUGCAAACACGCAAUCCAGCUAUAGCAACUAUAUCUGCAAUGCUGUCAUCAGAGAUUUUGUAGGUGAUCAAAGAAGCAAAAUAUCAUAUCGCAUCGCCAGCUUGAACCUAGAGUGAAACAUUAGUUCAAGAUGUAGUGGUGGAUGCAUUUAUAGACUAGUAAUACAGCAUUCGUACUGUAAUGUAUAUUGAUAUACAUGCUAAGAUGUAGUGAAAAGUGUGUGGCUAUGCUGCUCUGACACUUCAGUUGUUUUAACCCUUCAUUGAUGAGUUCUGCAUACGGCAUACCAAAAAAUAUUAUUUUUCUUGCUGAUUUUUGGCAUUCAGUAAAGUUUCUUGUUAAAUGUAUUGAGCCAACACUGAAUGACUGGCAGCAAGUGUCAUUUGUCGGUUUAGAGCAGGAACACAGGAUGGGAAAAAAAAGACAUCGGACUCGUUUUCUUUGGAAAGCACGGUCAGGGGAGACAGACCAGUGCAAGAUCUGCUGUAGUGACCUCAGACACACAAUGCAAAGAGCUCUCUGCACAGAUUCCAAACGCAGCCAUGUCGCUUGGGGAGAAGCCCACUUCUUCCCCCAUACUACUAAAGGAGUUUCUACAAAAUAUCCUUUAUUUUCGUUGAUUAUGCUUAUUCUCAAUGUAUUUUGCACAUUUAGGUAUAAAAUAAUUUGUUUUGUAUUUAUAUGCGUGGUCAUUAAAGGGUUAAACAAAUAAAGUGGUUCCAAUGAAUGUGAAUGUAUAACUUUAGCGACUCUAGUCGCAAUGUGUUGAUCAUUCCACAAUCUUUGUGAGACCACGAAACAGGAACUAGGCAGCAUGAAAAUCACUCAGCAGUACCAAGAAGGAAGCUUCAGCACUUAUACAGUACUGCAGAAUAAACUUUUAUGCUUCACCUGUGGUGUCCUUUUUAUUAUGUGGUCUUGAUCCCACUAGGGGGAAAUAACACUGCUUUGCAAGUGCAUUGCAGUACUUUAAUACGUUAACUGCUUGCUGCAAAAGGAAAGUGCCAUUAGAGUAGUAUUACAUAAGGAUCAUGUGUUAUGAGGCAGUCGCUAGAAGUGGUAUGUCACAGCACUGAGUUGCCGGCGGCCAUUAUAAUUAGCUGUUUUCUGUGCCAUUGUUAACUUGACAGAACAUAGUGAGCAUUAUUUGAUCAAUAAACAAUACUACAUAAUUCUGGCCCUUAUUUGCAACUUUGCCUCAUCUCUGUGAUGCGCGCAACCCGCUUUUGAUGUUACUGAGAUCGAGUGACUCCUUGCAAAGCAGCAGGGUAGUCCUGUUAAUGAUGCUGUCAUUCACACUUACGCAGAUUGUUUAGUAGGCAUUAGCUCAGUGCCAUUCCCCCAUAGAAUCACAGCUUGCAUUUCAUUCAUGUAUAAUAGAAACAUUCUGUAGA